rnacentral:tRNA from 1 species
GCCGCGUUAACUCAGUUGGCUAGAGUGCCGCCCUUGUAAUGCGGAUGCCGUCGGUUCGAAUCCGACACGCGGCU